AUUGAACGCUGGCGGCAGGCCUAACACAUGCAAGUCGAACGGUAACAGAAAGCAGCUUGCUGCUUUGCUGACGAGUGGCGGACGGGUGAGUAAUGUCUGGGAAACUGCCUGAUGGAGGGGGAUAACUACUGGAAACGGUAGCUAAUACCGCAUAACGUCGCAAGACCAAAGAGGGGGACCUUCGGGCCGCUUGCCAUCGGAUGUGCCCAGAUGGGAUUAGCUAGUAGGUGGGGUAACGGCUCACCUAGGCGACGAUCCCUAGCUGGUCUGAGAGGAUGACCAGCCACACUGGAACUGAGACACGGUCCAGACUCCUACGGGAGGCAGCAGUGGGGAAUAUUGCACAAUGGGCGCAAGCCUGAUGCAGCCAUGCCGCGUGUAUGAAGAAGGCCUUCGGGUUGUAAAGUACUUUCAGCGGGGAGGAAGGGAGUAAAGUUAAUACCUUUGCUCAUUGACGUUACCCGCAGAAGAAGCACCGGCUAACUCCGUG
rnacentral:rRNA from 1 species